UACGAGGGGGGCAAGCGUUGUUCGGAAUUAUUGGGCGUAAAGGGUGCGUAGGCGGGUUUUUAAGUCAGGGGUGAAAUCCUGGAGCUCAACUCCAGAACUGCCUUUGAUACUGAAGAUCUUGAGUCCGGGAGAGGUGAGUGGAACUGCGAGUGUAGAGGUGAAAUUCGUAGAUAUUCGCAAGAACACCAGUGGCGAAGGCGGCUCACUGGCCCGGUACUGACGCUGAGGUGCGAAAGCGUGGGGAGCAAACAGG
rnacentral:rRNA from 1 species